rnacentral:rRNA from 1 species
ACUCAAAUGAAUUGACGGGGGCCCGCACAAGCAGCGGAGCAUGUGGUUUAAUUCGAAGCAACGCGAAGAACCUUACCAGGACUUGACAUCCUACUAAUCCUUUAGAGAUAGAGGAGUGCCUUUCGGGGAAAGUAGAGACAGGUGGUGCAUGGUUGUCGUCAGCUCGUGUCGUGAGAUGUUGGGUUAAGUCCCGCAACGAGCGCAACCCUUGUCAUUAGUUGCUAACAUUUAAGGUGAGCACUCUAAUGAGACUGCCGGGGACAACUCGGAGGAAGGUGGGGAUGACGUCAAAUCAUCAUGCCCCUUAUGUCCUGGGCUACACACGUGCUACAAUGGCUAGAACAAUGAGAUGCAAGAUCGCAAGGUGGAGCAAAUCUAUAAAUCUAGUCCCAGUUCGGAUUGAUGGCUGCAACCCGCCAUCAUGAAGCCGGAGUUGCUAGUAAUCGCGAAUCAGCAUGUCGCGGUGAAUACGUUCCCGGGCCUUGUACACACCGCCCGU